GACCGCGUAGCUCAGUUGGCAGAGCAUUGGGCUAGUAUUCCAAAGGUCGUAGGUUCGAUUCCCAUCGUGGUCA
rnacentral:tRNA from 1 species